GGGCACGUAGCUCAGUUGGUAGAGCAGCUGACUCUUAAUCAGCGGGUCCACGGUUCGAAUCCGUGCGUGCCCACCA
rnacentral:tRNA from 1 species